GGGUCGAAGCCGGACCGUAAGGACCGGUGGACGAAAUGGAAGAGAUUAUGCUGACAUAAGUAGCGAUAAAGUCUGUGAGAAACAGGCUCGCCGAAAACCCAAGGUUUCCUGAGUAAAGCUAAUCUUCUCAGGGUUAGUCGAUCCCUAAGCCGAGGCCGACAGGCGUAGGCGAUGGGAAACAGGUUAAUAUUCCUGUGCCACUGCAGCAGCGUUUGAGCGAAGGGGGGACGUAGAAGGGUAGGCCAUCCGGGUGUUGGACGUCCCGGUUCAAGCCGGUAGGGGGAGAUUUUAGGAAAAUCCGAAAUCUCAUUCAACUCCGAGAAGCGAUGAGGAGAGAUUUUAUCUCGUAAACUGGCUGAUCCCAUGCUACCAAGAAAAGCCUCGUAGCGAGCUGUUGUGGUGACCGUACCGUAAACCGACACAGGUAGGUAGGGAGAGUAUCCCAAGGCGCUUGAGUGAUCUCUCGUUAAGGAACUCGGCAAAAUGACACCGUAACUUCGGAAGAAGGUGUGCCCCGUUAGCGUGAAGCGAUUCGCACGUAAAGCGCGAGGGGGUUGCAGUGAAACGGCCCAAGCGACUGUUUAGCAAAAACACAGGACUCUGCGAAGUCGUAAGACGAUGUAUAGGGUCUGACGCCUGCCCGGUGCUGGAAGGUUAAGGGGAUUUGUUAGCCGCAAGGCGAAGCUUUGAACCGAAGCCCCAGUAAACGGCGGCCGUAACUAUAACGGUCCUAAGGUAGCGAAAUUCCUUGUCGGGUAAGUUCCGACCUGCACGAAUGGCGUAACGAUUUGGGCGCUGUCUUGACGAGAAGCUCAGCGAAUUUGAUAAACCGGUGAAGAUGCCGGUUACCCGCAACUAGACGGAAAGACCCCACGAACCUUUACUAUAACUUGACAAUGAAUUUCGGACUGGUUUGUGUAGGAUAGGUGGGAGGCUUUGAAGUGGGAACGCCAGUUUCCAUGGAGCCGACCUUGAAAUACCACCCUGAUUAUUCUGAAGUUCUAACCUCGACCCGUCAUCCGGGCCAGGGACAUUGUCUGGUGGGUAGUUUGACUGGGGCGGUCGCCUCCCAAAGCGUAACGGAGGCGCGCGAAGGUUCCCUCAGGCUGAUUGGAAACCAGCCGUAGAGUGUAAAGGCAUAAGGGAGCUUGACUGCGAGACAUACAAGUCGAGCAGGUGCGAAAGCAGGUCUUAGUGAUCCGGUGGUUCCACAUGGAAGGGCCAUCGCUCAACGGAUAAAAGGUACUCUGGGGAUAACAGGCUUAUCACGCCCAGGAGUUCACAUCGACGGCGUGGUUUGGCACCUCGAUGUCGGCUCAUCGCAUCCUGGGGCUGAAUAAGGUCCCAAGGGUUUGGCUGUUCGCCAAUUAAAGCGGUACGUGAGCUGGGUUCAGAACGUCGUGAGACAGUUCGGUCCCUAUCUGUUGUGGGCGCAGGAUAUUUGAGAGGAGCUGUCCCUAGUACGAGAGGACCGGGAUGGACGAACCUCUGGUGUUCCAGUUGUCGUGCCAACGGCAUCGCUGGGUAGCUAAGUUCGGAAGGGAUAACCGCUGAAAGCAUCUAAGCGGGAAGCCCACCUCAAGAUGAGAUAUCCCUCCUGAUGGAGACAUCAGGACUGAAGACCCCUCGUAGACCACGAGGUUGAUAGGUCAGAUGUACAAGCACAGUAAUGUGUUGAGCUUACUGAUACUAAUCGGUCGUGAGGCUUGACCAU
rnacentral:rRNA from 1 species